UUCGUUCGCAGUUCUGGGUCUCUCGUCCGUGAUUGUACCAAGAUAAUUCCCCGAAUUGUGCAAGAAGUAUAUAUAAUGUGCUAAAUGAUGAAUGUAAUGUGCAAGAAAAGGAUGAACGUUCACACGUACACAAGAGUUUCGGGUACUUUUGUCAAUUCGCCCUUAAGAAUCGCAUAGAAACUUUCAUUGAAAGUGUUAGUACUGCUCCCUGGCUUUUCACCCAAGAAUUCGCCGGUACCUGCCCAGCAAGUCAUGGGUACUGAAACUCCAACACAUUCAAAGAAAUUUUAAUAACACCACUACAUACACACAUAUGCAACAAAGGGCGAAAUGUGCAUAAACAUUUACCUCAACUCUUCUUUCGUACAGCACCCUGAAUGAUAGAAAGAAACAACCAAAGUUCUCGUGUUUAAACAAGUUUUGUUUUGAGCUACAUAUGUAUAUCAUGGCUGCUUGUGAAGUAUUAUUUUGCGUGUUUUAUUUAAAUCAGUGAUCUGCAGCCUAAUUAAAGUUUAAAUUAUUGAAGCACGCAUUUUAAAAACGUAAAAUAAAAGUUUUCUAAAGCCAAAAUAUGGAAUUGAAGAGGAUGAUACAACAAUACUUCAUCGCAUUGUCAAUUCGAAGCACACAAUAGAAGCUACGCCAACAAUGGUCAAUAUGAAGGGCGAAACCAUUGAAUACAUAUUUCAAACCUCAUACGACGCGUUAAAGGUACGCAAACUAAGUGGUGUCACUUAUGGUAGCAGCGUAGAACGUUCGAAUCGAUGGAAUAUGUGCUGCAAGCAAAUCCAGAACUAUGGAUGCAAACGCUGCUACAUCGAACACAAAUCAUUUACACACCAGAUAUUAGGUUUAAUGUCACUUUUUUACGUGCAAUUAAACCUUUUGCUCAACACAAGCCCGGGAAGAACUGAAACGACAUGGUUUAGGUGCUUUUGUAACAGUUUAUCAUCGCGACGUGUGUAAACGUUUUGCCAAUGUGCUAGAGGGCUAAGCAGUUGCAGUAUUUUUAGAAUUACCGGCCCCUCAAUUGGCCGUGCCAUUAGCAGCUAACACUCAGAAAUUAAUGGGAGGACUUUUUUGAUUCAUUUUUACCUUCUAUUGAGCAAUCAUAACGUUGUUGUAUCGAAAUUAGUUCAAUGGGAAUACUACAGCAAGAGCAUAAAUCCUCCUCCCGGAAAUUGGAUGAAUCUAGUACUAGUGAAAUUACUGAAAGAACAGAUCUUACAAAAACUCCUAAAGAAACCAAAAGAGUCCUCACAUAAUGUGCGCAGCUUACACUUCCAGGCCGCUCGGGGUAUUUGACAUUUGCCACUCUUCCUCCAGCCUUUGUCAGAUAGCAAAAAUUGUUCAACUAUUCAAAACGUCGUAUUCUGUGUCUAAAAUAAAAAGCUCUUUUCAUUAUAUGUUGUUAAGAAGUAAAAUACUCUUGACAAAUAAAAUAUCUCGCUGUGGAUAGUUGUGAAAGUGAAUUUGUUGCAAUGGAAAUAUUUUACUAUUGUCGUUAGUUUUAUACAAAGAGGAAAAAUAUGAACAUGUUUUUAUAAUAUAUUAAGAAGUUUAUUUUUCCGUUUUUUGUAUAAAAAAAUGAGGAUAAUGAGGGUAACAUUGACGAAAUUGUUUUCUAUAUAUUGCAUGCGAUUACAGCUUAGCAAAUUUUUGCCAACAAAGAACAAAGUUUAGAUUUCGUAGUCCCCAAGGGACUUUUCUGAAGCUAAACAUAACAACCAACUAAAUCAAAAUUGCAUUCCAAACAGUUUUAAAUAUAUUAUAAAGGACAUAUGUAUAUGUAUUAUAUUAUGAAGUAUUCUACGGCUUUGCGGGGGAGCAAAAGACUAUGGAGGAUCUGGGAUGGAAAAGUAAAUAUAUAGGCUCUGCCAUUUGGGUUAACCCUGUCAUCUACUUAUAUAGAGUUAAUGGAGUUGUGAAACCAAACCAAAUACUUUGCAUCAGGUCUGAAAGGCUUCCGUCGAUAUCUCGACAUCAGAAUCAGAUAGAUAGGCUGAUAACUCUUUGGUCAAUCAUGAACCAAACUUAUCAACGAAGCCACACUGAAGAAGGCUCGGUUAAAACAAACACUCAUCCAAAUAACGGCCUUUUAGUGUGAAAUUAAAGUUAAAUUAUUAACUAUUUUGCAAC